rnacentral:tRNA from 1 species
CGUCCCGCCCCAAACAAUCGGCCGGGAAUCGAACCCGGGGCGCCCGCGUGGCAGGCGAGCAUUCUACCACUGAACCAAAAGCAAACGGUGAC